UUCCGGUUGAUCCCGCCGGACCUGACUGCUAUCGGAUUGAUACUAAGCCAUGCGAGUCAUUGUAGCAAUACAAGGCAGACGGCUCAGUAACGCGUAGUCAACCUAACCUAUGGACGGGAAUAACCUCGGGAAACUGAGAAUAAUGCCCGAUAGAACACUAUAUCUGGAAUGGUUUGUGUUCCAAAUGAUUUAUCGCCGUAGGAUGGGACUGCGGCCUAUCAGUUUGUUGGUGAGGUAAUGGCCCACCAAGACUAUUACAGGUACGGGCUCUGAGAGGAGUAGCCCGGAGAUGGGUACUGAGACACGGACCCAGGCCCUAUGGGGCGCAGCAGGCGAGAAAACUUUGCAAUGUGCGAAAGCACGACAAGGUUAAUCCGAGUGGUUUCUGCUAAAGGAACCUUUUGUCGGUCCUAGAAACACCGAUGAAUAAGGGGUGGGCAAGUUCUGGUGUCAGCCGCCGCGGUAAAACCAGCACCUCAAGUGGUCAGGAUGAUUAUUGGGCCUAAAGCAUCCGUAGCCUGCUUUGUUAGUUUUCGGUUAAAUCUAUACGCUCAACGUAUAGGCUGCCGGGAAUACUGCAAAGCUAGGGAGUGGGAGAGGUAGGCGGUACUCGGUAGGAAGGGGUAAAAUCCUUUGAUCUAUUGAUGACCACCUGUGGCGAAGGCGGUCUACCAGAACACGUCCGACGGUGAGGGAUGAAAGCUGGGGGAGCAAACCGGAUUAGAUACCCGGGUAGUCCCAGCCGUAAACCAUGCAAACUCAGUGAUGCAUUGGCUUGUGGCCAAUGCAGUGCUGCAGGGAAGCCGUUAAGUUUGCCGCCUGGGAAGUACGUACGCAAGUAUGAAACUUAAAGGAAUUGGCGGGGGAGCACCACAAGGGGUGAAGCCUGCGGUUCAAUUGGAGUCAACGCCGGG
rnacentral:rRNA from 1 species